AGCAGUAUAGCUGUCGAUUAUCCUUGUUUCUCGUGUGAUAAUUACCCAUUUUUCUCUACAUUUCCUUGCAAACCGUCUGCAGAUUUGCUAUACAUUUAAAAAUGUCUUCAACAAGUUUAAUCUCGUCAUAUCACUGCAGUUUGUGCUUUUUGAAACUGAAUUUCGCGAAGUUAUCGUUGCUCUUCAAAUAUUCGAGACUUCGAGUUAGCAUUGCCACUUGCCGAAUUUUCAUGUUCGAACUUUCGAAGUGAGGUCGAGGGUUGUGUGAACGUUACAACUCUAAGAAACCAUGUAUAUAACAUCAACACACCAAAAUUUUUUCAAAAAGAAAGUGCGGAAAACAAAGAACCAUAAGACGUUGAGCUGUGUGAACUGUGAACAGAUGGCCGCGAAGUUCAAAGUGGAUUGUUGCUGCAGCCUCAGUUAUAUACAUCUUGUGGCAUUUAAAAACAAUGUCCAAGUGAAGAGUCUUCAAAAACAAAAUUUUUUCAAGUUAAUUGGGUUAAAAGUCCUGUGGUCAAGUCAAAAGGAACAAGUCUUUUCCAUUAAACAGAGGAACUUGACGGCAUGUUCAGGCAAGAAGAGGCCAAAUGAAGAGAAUCAGAUGGCAAAAUGGCAUCCAAAAGGGAAUUUUUGAUGAUGAACUUGAGGGCUUAUAGCAGA